UAUACGACUCUCGGCAACGGAUAUCUCGGCUCUCGCAUCGAUGAAGAACGUAGCGAAAUGCGAUACUUGGUGUGAAUUGCAAAAUCCCGUGAACCAUCGAGUCUUUGAACGCAAGUUGCGCCCGAGGCCUUUCGGUUGAGGGCACGCCUGCCUGGGCGUCACGC
rnacentral:rRNA from 2 species